GUGGUCUAUUGGGAUAAAUGAAUGAAGUAAUGAAGGGGAACGAGCAGGCUGCUUUAGCUCGAGCUUUGGUGUCGGUGAAGCUGCAGCUCUUUCCUUUUAAAGCAGAACAACAAAUUUAAUCUGGGAGAUGAGAAGGCUGCUAAAAGCCAACGCUCUCUCACAAGCAGAGUGUGGCAGCUGCAGCUCCACGGGCACAGGAGGUUCACAGCAGUGAGUUGUAGCCGUCAGCCGCCCUUUGCUCAGAUGUGUAUGUACGUUUUUAUACAUCUGUUAAUGUCAGUCAGGAAAGCGUGUGCAGUACGUUCUCUGAUGCGGUGACUUGAAUGUUCAUUUCAUUAUCGCUGUGGGCGGUAAAGAUCCAUCCAUCUUUAGACUGGGAUCUUUGAAAACAAUGCACUGGGGUUGCAGUAAAUAGUUUUACAAACUGGAUCUGAUAAAUGCUGACUUGGAGCUGCUUUAAUCCACUUAAGUCAGCCACUAAACAAAACAUCAUAAAACAUGGGAUACACAUCCACCACAAAUCUCUGGCUCACAGAUCUUUGCUUACACAACAGGGUCAUCCAGUCGGUUUGGGGUCCCCCUGAGGAUAAGUAAAUCCAGUUUUCUCUUUUUUGCUUCUGGUUUGGUCUCCACCAGCUGCUGAUGAAGAUAGCUAGAUAGAUUUUUUUUUUUUUACUUUAAAUAUUCCACUUUCAUCACCAGCUAGUUUCAGUUUUGUCUGUCUGCUGUCUGGUGGUAGGCAGGCGGUGUGAAGUGGAUUGGACUGUACAGAGCUAAAUCAGGAUGAGCGUCCUCACAGAGCUCCAUUUCUAAAAAGGCUUUGGUGAUAGAGGCUGUGCUACAGUAUCCUGGAGGCAGUGAUAAAAUGGAUGUAAAUCAGGAGCAGCCUUGGUCUGGCUCCAUGUGGCAGAAAGCUGAGGUGGCGCUUUACCACAGUACUCCUAUCCAGACGACCCACCAUGCUCUAUUGUGGAGUCAAAUCCCUCCUUGUCAAGCAUCGGCAGCAAUUGUGUUUGAGUCCCAUUGUCCAAGUCGACGAGUG
rnacentral:lncRNA from 1 species